UGCGGGAUGGUGCAGUGGUCAGCACAUGAGACUCAUAACCUCAAGGUCGUCGGUUCGAAUCCGACUCCCGCUACCCA
rnacentral:tRNA from 1 species